rnacentral:tRNA from 1 species
GUGGGGGUAGCCAAGUGGUAAGGCACUGGAUGGACAAUUGUCCAUACUCCUUGGUUCACAAACUUGUCUGCAAAGACCGAAGAAUUGAGGGUUAUCGGUUCCAAGAUUCGUAGGUUCAAAUCCUGCUCCCCACACCA